CAACUGAAAAAAACACAAACUAAUAUGUGAUUUGAAAUACAAUUUUUUUAUAAUCUUUUCAUAACAAAGUAAAUAACUUUUUCUUUCUUUGAAUCAACAAAAUGUUAGCCGUUUCCAUGACGAUAAGACGUGUGUGUCGUGUGCAGAGAGUCAAAAGAGAAUCAUUAGUUCCAUGAGAAAAACAUUUGUUGGACAAGGGCCGUUUUGUUGAUUACCAACAUGUCUUGUCACUGUGGAAAGACUGAGGGUGUCUCCCAAAUUGCGCCCUAUGAGUCCCGGUCAAUAGAAUAGAACUAUAUAGGGAUUUAGGGCUCCAUUCGGGCUAGAUACCCCUAGGCUACUUCAAACAAUGUGAAAGUAGGAAUAUACCAUAAAUGUUUAAAAUACUUUAUUUUCUGUUUUCUUUUUUUAAAGAAGAAACAAACACUUGUGAACUAAAGGCUCUAUUCAGUGGCUAAAGCCCGAAGCGUAACAGAUUGAGUGAUACACAUGUAAAGGCCGUUUCCAAUACGGCCGAUAACAUGCGCCGUUUACUGUGAACGCAGUCGCCGCUAACAUUACCGUGACAUUUAAAUCUAUUAUAAAUGUAAAUCUUUAAACGCUGUAACGCUGAACUUCAGAGUGGAUAGAGUCCAGCCCUUUAGUCAGCGAAAGAUACACAACCCCUCUCUCUUUAGUGUUUACUAUUGGCCAUUUAUCUCUACUCAGUCUCAUAGGUCCCCUGUUACCUAUAUAGUGUUUCAGAUGUCCAGGUCCAAAGUAGUGCACUAUGUAGGGAAUAGGGUUCCAUAGGGCUCUGGUCUAAAGUAGUGCACUAUAUAGGGAAUAGGGCCCUGGUCUAAAGUAGUGCACUAUAUAGGGAAUAGGGUUCCAUAGGGCUCUGGUCUAAAGUAGUGCACUAUAUAGGGAAUAGGGUUCCAUAGGGCUCUGGUCUAAAGUAGUGCACUAUAUAGGGAAUAGGGUUCUAUAGGGCUCUGGUCUAAAGUAGUGCACUAUAUAGGGAAUAGGGCCCUGGUCUAAAGUAGUGCACUAUAUAGGAAAUAGGGUUCUAUAGGGCUCUGGUCUAAAGUAGUGCACUAUAUAGGGAAUAGGGCCCUGGUCUAAAGUAGUGCACUAUAUAGGGAAUAGGGCCCUGGUCUAAAGUAGUGCACUAUAUAGGGAAUAGGGUUCCAUAGGGCUCUGGUCUAAAGUAGUGCACUAUAUAGGGAAUAGGGUUCCAUAGGGCUCUGGUCUAAAGUAGUGCACUAUAUAGGGAAUAGGGCUCUGGUCUAAAGUAGUGCACUAUAUAGGGAAUAGGGCCCUGGUCUAAAGUAGUGCACUAUAUAGGGAAUAGGGCCCUGGUCUAAAGUAGUGCACUAUAUAGGGAAUAGGGUUCUAUAGGGCUCUGGUCUAAAGUGGUGCACUAUAUAGGGAAUAGGGUGCCUUGUAUCUGUAGUACUAUAAGGAGACAUAUUUAGUACAGACUUGUGGAUUUGAUUGAAUAAAACUGACUGUAAAAUCUUAUUAAAAAAUAGACUGUUUCAUACAAACAAACCAUUUCUGACGAAACAGUUGAACUCAAACCAAGCUUGAAUAUUUGGUUGUAAACGUGUCGAUGUUAAUGAUGCCGAUACAGUAUUAAUAAGGAACGUUGUUGAAAAGGAACUUAAAGACACACGUAAAAAAUAAAACAUUAAAAUACAUGGUAACAGGGAGAACACCCAUUGAAUGGUGUCUGGUAACUAUGAGGAAUGGACAUAGGGUGUUCUCUUCCUUGGGAUUCCUCCAAAACGGAACCCUAUUCUCUGGUCUAAAGUAGUGCACUAUAUAUAGGGAAUAGGGUUCCAUAGGUCUCUGGUCUAAAGUAGUGCACUAUAUAUAGGGAAUAGGGUUCCAUAGGGCUCUGGUCUAAAGUAGUGCACUAUGCAGGGAAUAGGGUUCCAUAGGGCUCUGGUCUAAAGUAGUGCACUAUGCAGGGAAUAGGGUUCCAUAGGGUUCUGGUCUAAAGUAGUGCACUAUAUAGGGAAUAGGGUGCCAUAGGGCUCUGGUCUAAAGUAGUGCACUAUAUAGGGAAUAGGGUUCCAUAGGACUCUGGUCUAAAGUAGUGCACUAUAUAUAGGGAAUAGGGUUCCAUAGGGCUCUGGUCUAAAGUAGUGCACUAUGCAGGGAAUAGGGUUCCAUAGGGUUCUGGUCUAAAGUAGUGCACUAUAUAGGGAAUAUGGUGCCAUAGGGUUCUGGUCUAAAGUAGUGCACUAUAUAGGGAAUAGGGUUCUGGUCUAAAGUAGUGCACUAUAUAGGGAAUAGGGUUCUGGUCUAAAGUAGUGCACUAUGCAGGGAAUAGGUUGCCAUUUUGGAGUGUUAGAAUUUGAAAGCAGUUUAAUUUCGUUGAAUGUCAGUUCCAGUGGGAUUAACCUUUUCUGAAACAGAUUCAUUAGUUUACAACGUGCUUCCAGAAUUUGACAGUAGGUCUAAUAUAUAAAUGGCCUUUUAAAUAUGCAGCAUCCCUUUUUUCUUUGAAGCA
ensembl:lncRNA